GACGGAGGGUGCUAGCGGUGUUCGGAAUUACUGGGCGUAAAGGGCGCGUAGGCGGCCUGGUCAGUCGGGUGUGAAAGCCCGGGGCUCAACCCCGGAACGGCACCCGAGACGGUCAGGCUGGAGACCGGGAGAGGAGGGUGGAAUAGCCAGUGUAGAGGUGAAAUUCGUAGAUAUUGGCUGGAACACCGGUGGCGAAAGCGGCUCUCUGGCCCGGUUCUGACGCUGAGUCGCGAAAGCGUGGGGAGCAAACAGG
rnacentral:rRNA from 1 species